AUUUGAACUAUCUUGAACUAUUUGAACCAUCUUGAACUAUUUUGAACUUGUAUUUGAACUAGCACUUGAACUUGAACUAUCUUGAAUGUAUUGUAGCAUAAUCUUACCUCACAAACGUUAAAAUUUUUGCCUUCUGAAAGAUGGAUGAUGCUCCUUUUCAUUUUAACAAACCUUUUAAUAUUUACCCCCUCUCGUUACAGGUGUCUGGCUGUCACUUAUGUGUUUGUGUUUGUCUCCUGGAAAAGUAAUUGUUUUAUGUUGACAUCUUUUCAUUGUAUACAUUUGAACCAAAGAACCUUCAUCUCACCUCUUUUCCUAAUCUCAGAAGAGAUCCUGCUCUCAGAAGAGAGUGUCCCACACUCAAGAAGGGUGUGCGUCUUUAUCCAUUUCAUCACAUUUCACCCACGGGAGACCGUGGUAGAGUUGUAUAAAGAAUCCACAGAAAAAAAAUCCGAAAAAGAAAAGAAAUAUCUGAAAAAGAAAACAGGAACCAGGUGAGACUCCUGGAUAUAUAAUCAAUAACAGGAACCAGGUGAAACUCCUGGAUAUAUAAUCAAUAACAGGAAGCAGGUGAAACUCCUGGAUAUAUAAGCAAUAACAGGAACCAGGUGAGACUCCUGGAUAUAUAAGCAAUAACAGGAACCAGGUGAAACUCCUGGAUAAAUAAGCAAUAACAGGAACCAGGUGAGACUCCUGGAUAAAUAAGCAAUAACAGGGACAGUGUGUUAGAAAAACAAACAGGCUUGAUAGGAAUAAAUACAAUUUAUCAAAUUACAGUUUUGAGAAAUAAAAGGCAAGUUUGCAAAAAGUGGGAAACAAACUUGGGAUAUUUUCAGUUGUAGGGAUACAAUAAAGUGUGUUUGCUUACAAAGAACUUUGGGUGAGCGUAUUGGAAAUUCAUUAACCAGUGAUAAGAUUAAUUAAUCAGAAGAAAAGCAGGAUAUUUGAUCGUUUACAGAUUUUUUUUAAAAGGAAGUAAGCGUGGUAAAAUUGAAAAAGGGGUGGGGAAAAUUGAAGAAAGAAAAGAAGGUUUAGAAAUACAAGUGAACUAGAGUAGUUGGAUAGAAGAUAUUUGAUUACAGAGGUUUUUAAGUUAAAAGAAAAAGCAGUGAGUUUGAAAAAUUACAAAGAGAGUGAGUAAAAUUGAAGUCAAGAGAACAAGUAACCUUGAGUAGUUUGAAAGAGCAUAUUUUAUUACAGAGAGGUUUUUUUAAAGAAAGGAGUAAGCUUUAAAUUACAAAGAGUGAGGACGAUUGAAGAGAGUAAGGUUCAAAAGUUUAUAGAGUUAGAAAAAAAAAAGGAAGUGACUGAUAAAUUAUACAUACUGAAGUCAAGUGUGGAGAAUUGAAGAGAAUUAAGUGCAGAGAUACAAGUGGGCUUGAGUAGUUGCAGAGAGGGUAUUUGAUCAUUCACAGAUUUUGUUUAAAAAAUCCCUGAUAAAUUACAAAAAGAUUGAGGAAAAUUGAAGUAAGAGGAAACGUAAAUACAAGUGAGCUUAGGUGGUUGGAAAGAAAAUAUUUGAUUAGAGAGUUUUUAGAAUAAAAAGACCGGAACUUGGUAAAUUACAUAUUCGUGAGGAAAAUUAAAGCCAGAGAACAAGAUUGAGAAAUAAAGUGGGCUUAAGAACUUUGAUAGAGGAUAUUUGAUGACACUUUUUUUUUUAAUUUAAGAAAGAGGUAAGCUUGAUUAAUUACAAAAGCGUGAGAAAAGUUGAAGUAAGAGAAUAAAGUCCAGAACUUACAGAGUUUAGAGAAAAGGAGGUGUCUUUGAUAAGUUGAACAUAUUAAAAAAAAAGAAAAAAAGGGUGAGGAAAAUUGAAGAGAAUAAGGUUCAGAUAUACAAGUGGGCUUGAGAAGUUGCAGAGAAGGUAUUUUAUCAUUUACAGAGUUUUGGAGAAAAGAAGGGAGCGUGAUAAAUAAAAAGAAUAAGGAAAUUAUUAAAGAGAUCAAGGUAGAAAAAUACAAGUGGGCUUGAGUGGUUGGAAAAAAAAUAUUUGAUCACAGAUUUUCUUUUCUUUUUUUUAAAGUGAGCUUGAUAAAUAACAAAAGUAGAAAAAUUGAAGUAAGAGAACAAGGUUUAGGAAAAACAUAUAAGCUUAAGUAGUUUCAUCGAGAGUAGGAAACGUGUUAAUAUAACUAAUAUUCAAGUAAUUAACUAAAGUUUGUUGAUAAAGAAGAGAGUUGAAGGAAAUUUUGAUAAGAUAUUCAGUGUUUGUAUUAAGUGACUUUUAUUACAAGGAAAAUAACAUUAUAAUAAACCCUUAAGUGUGAAAAGGGGAUAAACAAUUUUGCAUCGAGAGUAACAGAGUCCACUUGCGAGUCUGCUUCAUUGACAAACAGAUUUUAAAAAUUGUCAGGGAACUAAAAGUUUUUAAUAAAGUAUUGCACUUUGAAGAGAUAUAUUGCAGAAUAGAUACAAAGAUUCGUACGUGAAAUCUUUAAAAGUAUUACCUUCUUGUACAUCCAAAACACAUCAAGGCAUUUAUUUGAAUAUUACUAAUUAGACUGUAAACUUUUAAUAUUGUGCAUUUUAUGCCUAUUGCGAUAAAGAGAUUGAAAAUGGCUGCCACUCAAUUCAGCUCUAUUGUUCAUGAGAUUCUAAGCAUGCUUUCCAGUUACACAUCGAUGAUCAACACAGAUGUUGAUGAAUGUUAUUGCAUGGAUAAGAUCAAUAAAAGUGACAACUAUGUAACAUGCGAGUCUUGUACCAACCAUUUCCAUGUGACAUGUGAGGAAUACUUGAACAAUGACAAACUUGCUGACCAGAGAUUGAUUUGGAUUUGCUCAUGCUGUGGUCAUAGCAAUAUUGGCGAUCGAAUAUUUGACAAAGUAUGUAUUCCAUCUCAUUAUAACAGAUAUGAGCCUCUCAUGUCAGCAGAUGAUGAUGACAAUGACGAUGAGAACAUGGAGAUCUUCAAACAGACAAGACGAGUAAGGACAUCAAAGAAGAGAUUCUGAUCAACGCUCUAACCAAAGAACUUGCAACAUUCUGGAAAAGAUGCAGGAUUUGAGACGAUACAGAGUCUACGCAGGAGGUAAAAGAGGAAGAGGUCGAAAAAGGAACAUGAAAGAUGGUGUACCAGAAGAUGCAGUGUUUGACAAUGACCUGAAGAAUAAAAGCUUUGAUACAGUAAAAGAUGGUACAGACAAUGAUACUGAAGCAGUCGAGGUUUCCUGAGUUGUAACGGACACAGUGUUGUACUUCGUACUCAAAGCUGGCAAGAUAACUUCUUCAAAAGACUGCAAAGUGCAACGUUGCAAAGCUCAUUUCUACAACCCUAGUUACCAAUGACAGUGCACCACCAUAUUCCUUUGCUCACCAGUUGAAACAAACUACCGCCCUCGAGUCAGAAGGCUGUCCUCAUCGUCCAACACACAGCGGUAACAUCACCCCAGGACUUCAGCCCUCCGGUGAUACCUGGUUCAGCAAAGACUAGGCCUUGGGGAGUGUUUACGGCUCUGUCACCAAAACAGCAUUGUGGCAGAAGUAUGGAACACCAGCAUAUACAUGUAAUGUAUCGGGACCUUUACAGGAUAACUUCUUCAGAUGACUGCAAAGCGCAACGUUGCAAAGCUCAUUUCUACAACCCUAGUCACCAAUGACAGUGCA